AUAUAUUUUAUUUCCAAUCUUAGAGAGAGUUUAAAGAAUAAAAGAAAUUAGAAUUGAAGGAGGAUCGUAGAUGCCAAAUCGAACAUUGCCAUUAAGAAAAUGGUUGAUUCGGGUUAAAUGGGAAAGGCUGCUCGUGCUUGCAAGCUUACCGACAGGCUCACGCACUCACACGAGCAUCGACCGAGUUUAAUAUAGACGCGCGUUCGUGCCGCGUUCUCUUCUUGCAUACCGAAAGUGGACCUCGACGACGAAACCAUCACGACUGUUGCUCAGUUCGCUACGGUGAAUGCGUUUAUUUUUCUCUUGUCGAUUCCGUCAAGCCAGACGGUACGUCGGCAUAGGAUUAAAACGGUGGUGGUUCGACGUUACUCUAACGAUCAAAAUUCAACGACCGAAAGAAAAAUUCUUUUUUCGUCAUUUCGACUCGUAUCUUACGCGAUUCGUAUAACUGCGUUUAUAGAGAAUUGUCUAUGCAAACAAUUUUGGAAGGAAGGGAGAUUCUUAAUAUACUUCAGUAUAUCAAGAGUCGCAUAUGCUUCCAGAAGAUGGAUGUUAAUUUGGGAAGACUUUGGUAUCUUGUUAUCUCUAAUGAUGGAAUAUCCCAUUCCUAAAUUGAAUUUCCAAGUAUGUGUAUAAAUCAAUGAAAGAAAAAUCAAGAAUAACGAGUU